rnacentral:rRNA from 1 species
GACGAACCGUGCGAACGUUGUUCGGAAUCACUGGGCUUAAAGGGCGCGUAGGCGGGCGUCCAAGUCAGGGGUGAAAUCUUUCGGCCUAACCGGAAAAGUGCCCCUGAUACUGGACAUGUCGAGGGAGGUAGGGGCGUGUGGACCUUCCGGUGGAGCGGUGAAAUGCGUAGAUAUCGGAAGGUACGCCGGUGGCGAAAGCGACGCGCUGGACCUCUUCUGACGCUGGGGCGCGAAAGCCAGGGGAGCAAACGGG